rnacentral:rRNA from 1 species
CACCGGCGGCUCGAGUGGUGGCCACUUUUAUUGGGUCUAAAGCGCCCGUAGCCGGCUUGGCAAGUCCCCUGGGAAAUCUGGCGGCUUAACCGUCAGGCGUCCAGAGGAUACUGCCAGGCUUGGGACCGGGAGAGGUGAGAGGUACCUCAGGGGUAGGGGUGAAAUCUUGUGAUCCCUGAGGGACCACCAGUGGCGAAGGCGUCUCACUAGAACGGGUCCGACGGUCAGGGACGAAAGCUGGGGGCACGAACCGG